GACGAACGCUGGCGGCGUGCUUAACACAUGCAAGUCGAACGGAAAGGCCCUGCGUUUGUGGGGUGCUCGAGUGGCGAACGGGUGAGUAACACGUGAGUAACCUGCCCUUGACUUUGGGAUAACUUCAGGAAACUGGGGCUAAUACCGGAUAGGAGCUCCUGCUGCAUGGGGGGGGUUGGAAAGUUUCGGCGGUUGGGGAUGGACUCGCGGCUUAUCAGCUUGUUGGUGGGGUAGUGGCUUACCAAGGCUUUGACGGGUAGCCGGCCUGAGAGGGUGACCGGCCACAUUGGGCCUGAGAUACGGCCCAGACUCCUACGGGCGGCAGCAGUGGGGAAUAUUGCACAAUGGGCGGAAGCCUGAUGCAGCAACGCCGCGUGCGGGAUGACGGCCUUCGGGUUGUAAACCGCUUUCGCCUGUGACGAAGCGUGAGUGACGGUAAUGGGUAAAGAAGCACCGGCUAACUACGUG
rnacentral:rRNA from 1 species